AUGGCUCAGGAUGAACGCUAGCGGCAGGCUUAACACAUGCAAGUCGAGGGCAUCGGGAGUAGCAAUACUGCCGGCGACCGGCGCAAGGGUGCGUAACGCGUGAGCAACAUGCCCGUAUCAGGGGAUAAUCCGUGGAAACGUGGUCUAAUACCCCAUAGUAAUUAUGUAAGGCAUCUUAUAUAAUUUAAAGCUUUGGUGGAUACGGAUUGGCUCGCGUGACAUUAGCUGGAUGGUAAGGUAACGGCUUACCAUGGCUACGAUGUCUAGGGGUUCUGAGAGGAAGGUCCCCCACACUGGAACUGAGACACGGUCCAGACUCCUGCGGGAGGCAGCAGUGAGGAAUAUUGGACAAUGGAUGGAAAUCUGAUCCAGCCAUGCCGCGUGCCAGGAGGACGGCCCUAUGGGUUGUAAACUGCUUUUGUAUGGGAGCAAUAAGGGCUACGUGUAGUCCGAUGAGAGUACCAUACGAAUAAGCACCGGCUAACUCCGUGCCAGCCGCCGC
rnacentral:rRNA from 1 species